AACGAACGCUGGCGGCAGGCUUAACACAUGCAAGUCGAACGCCCCGCAAGGGGAGUGGCAGGCGGGUGAGUAACGCGUGGGAACAUACCCUUUUCUACGGAAUAGCUCUGGGAAACUGGAAUUAAUACCGUAUACGCCCUACGGGGGAAAGAUUUAUCGGGGAAGGAUUGGCCCGCGUUGGAUUAGCUAGUUGGUGGGGUAAAGGCCUACCAAGGCGACGAUCCAUAGCUGGUCUGAGAGGAUGAUCAGCCACAUUGGGACUGAGACACGGCCCAAACUCCUACGGGAGGCAGCAGUGGGGAAUAUUGGACAAUGGGCGCAAGCCUGAUCCAGCCAUGCCGCGUGAGUGAUGAAGGCCUUAGGGUUGUAAAGCUCUUUCACCGAUGAAGAUAAUGACGGUAGUCGGAGAAGAAGCCCCGGCUAACUUCGUG
rnacentral:rRNA from 1 species